CCAGCCGCUCAGAACUCAAUGAAUUGACGGGGCCGCACAAGCGUGGAGUAUGUGGUUUAAUUCGAUGCAACGCGAAGACCUUACCUGGUCUUGACAUCCCGGAGACCCUUAGGAAACUAGGGGUGCUUCCAUCUGGAGAAUCUGGAGACAGGUGCUGCAUGGCUGUCGUCAGCUCGUGUCGUGAGAUGUUGGGUUAAGUCCCGCAACGAGCGCAACCCUUGCCUUUAGUUGCCAGCAGUUCGGCUGGGCACUCUAAAGGGACUGCCGGUGUUAAACCGGAGGAAGGUGGGGAUGACGUCAAGUCCUCAUGGCCUUUAUGACCAGGGCUACACACGUACUACAAUGGCCGAUACAAAGGGCAGCGACACUGCGAGGUGAAGCCAAUCCCGUAAAAUCGGUCUCAGUCCGGAUUGGAGUCUGCAACUCGACUCCAUGAAGUUGGAAUCGCUAGUAAUCGUGGAUCAGCAUGCCACGGUGAAUACGUUCCCGGGCCUU
rnacentral:rRNA from 1 species